CUUCGGGUUUAGUGGCGCACGGGUGCGUAACGCGUGGGAAUCUGCCCCUUGGUUCGGAAUAACAGUUGGAAACGACUGCUAAUACCGGAUGAUGACGUAAGUCCAAAGAUUUAUCGCCGAGGGAUGAGCCCGCGUAGGAUUAGGUAGUUGGUGUGGUAAAGGCGCACCAAGCCGACGAUCCUUAGCUGGUCUGAGAGGAUGAUCAGCCACACUGGGACUGAGACACGGCCCAGACUCCUACGGGAGGCAGCAGUGGGGAAUAUUGGACAAUGGGCGAAAGCCUGAUCCAGCAAUGCCGCGUGAGUGAUGAAGGCCUUAGGGUUGUAAAGCUCUUUUACCCGGGAUGAUAAUGACAGUACCGGGAGAAUAAGCUCCGGCUAACUCCGUGCCAGCAGCCGCGGUAAUACGGAGGGAGCUAGCGUUAUUCGGAAUUACUGGGCGUAAAGCGCACGUAGGCGGCUUUGUAAGUAAGAGGUGAAAGCCCAGAGCUCAACUCUGGAAUUGCCUUUUAGACUGCAUCGCUUGAAUCAUGGAGAGGUCAGUGGAAUUCCGAGUGUAGAGGUGAAAUUCGUAGAUAUUCGGAAGAACACCAGUGGCGAAGGCGGCUGACUGGACAUGUAUUGACGCUGAGGUGCG
rnacentral:rRNA from 1 species